GGAUGAGUCUGUUUUAAUAUGGAUCUCGGGGAAAGAGGAGAAACACCUUAAACUGAGCCAUGUCUCUAGAAUUAUAUCUGGGCAACGCACUCCAAUAUUUCAAAGGUAUCCACGGCCAGAGAAGGAGUAUCAAUCAUUCUCUCUGAUCUAUAAUGAUAGAUCACUUGACUUGAUUUGCAAAGAUAAAGAUGAAGCUGAGGUAUGGUUUAGUGGUCUAAAAGCCUUGAUAUCCCGCAGUCACCAUAGGAAAUGGAGAACAGAGUCAAGGAGUGAUGGAAUCCCAUCCGAGGCAAAUAGUCCUCGAACAUGCACAAGGAGGAGUUCUCCGUUGCAUUCUCCGUUUGGUAGUAAUGAUAGCUUACAGAAGGUGUGAACUAUUUUCCCCUUAUUUUCUAACUUUGAUCUGCUUGAGUUUCUUCAAAUCCAGCUUCUAUGGGGUCUUCGCUUGGCUGUGUUUAUUUUGAGCCUUUA